rnacentral:rRNA from 1 species
CGAGUGAGGUUUACCUUUGUAUAUGGAGAAGCCCAGGUAUCUGAGAGAUAUAAGACCUGGAACAUGCUUAAAGGAAUAGUGGGGACGAGUAAUGGCCCUUGGGCAGUUAUCGGCGAUUUUAAUGAAGUCCUUCAAGCACAUGAGCACGAUGGCGUGAACAAUCGCAGCCAAGCGCAGAUGGACGCCUUUCGAGAUGUGCUAGAUAUCUGUGGGCUAUCGAAUAUUGGCUAUAAGGGCUUAAACUGGACCUUUGAGAAGAAGGUCGUUGGAGGCACUUACACGAGGGUCCGACUGGAUAGAUGUGUCGCAAAUGCAGAAUUCAUACUGACCUAUCCUGAUGCGGUUCUCGAGCACAAAACAGCCGCCACAAGCGAUCACGUUCCAUUACUUCUCAAGUUCAGUGAUGUACGUGCAUGUAAA